CAUUUGAUUCAGUUGGACACU
rnacentral:miRNA from 1 species